AACGAACGCUGGCGGCAUGCCUAACACAUGCAAGUCGAACGAGACCUUCGGGUCUAGUGGCGCACGGGUGCGUACCGCGUGGGAACCUGCCCUUAGGUUCGGAAUAACUCCCCGAAAGGGGUGCUAAUACCGGAUAAUGUCCUCGGACCAAAGAUUUAUCGCCUUUGGAUGGGCCCGCGUUGGAUUAGCUAGUUGGUAGGGUAAAAGCCUACCAAGGCGACGAUCCAUAGCUGGUCUGAGAGGAUGAUCAGCCACACUGGGACUGAGACACGGCCCAGACUCCUACGGGAGGCAGCAGUGGGGAAUAUUGGACAAUGGACGAAAGCCUGAUCCAGCAAUGCCGCGUGAGUGAUGAAGGCCUUAGGGUUGUAAAGCUCUUUUACCCGGGAUGAUAAUGACAGUACCGGGAGAAUAAGCGCCGGCUAACUCCGUG
rnacentral:rRNA from 1 species